GCUUCCUUGGUAGAUCGAUCCCCUCACGUGAUCAAAAUGUGUUGGUGAGAAGACGAGGGACAGCCGCUGAUCAAACAAUAGUCUUUUUUCUUUUCGCCGAAAACGACGUUUUUUUUUCUUCUUCUUCUUCUUCUUCAUGUUGUUAACAAAUCUUCCCCGUCGUGCUAUCCCGACCGCAAGUAGUAGCAAAACCGAAAGCACGCACGCACGUUUCCAAUACUUGCCCUGCAUGCAGUAAUCUGCUCCGGCGUUUCCUUGCCUUGUCAUCAUGCGCGGCGCUCAGGCAAGCAAAUCCACGACAGAAGAAAAAGGAGAUUGGAAGAAG
rnacentral:lncRNA from 1 species